rnacentral:rRNA from 1 species
UACAGAGGUCUCAAGCGUUGUUCGGAUUCAUUGGGCGUAAAGGGUGCGUAGGCGGCGCGGUAAGUCGGGUGUGAAAUCUCGGAGCUUAACUCCGAAACUGCAUUCGAUACUGCCGUGCUUGAGGACUGGAGAGGAGACUGGAAUUUACGGUGUAGCGGUGAAAUGCGUAGAUAUCGUAAGGAAGACCAGUGGCGAAGGCGGGUCUCUGGACAGUUCCUGACGCUGAGACGCGAAAGCGUGGGGAGCGAACCGG